rnacentral:rRNA from 1 species
GUAGAAUGAACCGGCGAGUUACGAUCCCGUGCAAGGUUAAGCAGAAGAUGCGGAGCCGCAGCGAAAGCGAGUCUGAAUAGGGCGAAUUGAGUACGUGGUCGUAGCCCCGAAACCAGGUGAUCUACCCAUGUCCAGGGUGAAGUUCAGGUAACACUGAAUGGCGGCCCGAACCCACGCACGUUGAAAAGUGCGGGGAUGAGGUGUGGGUAGGGGUGAAAUGCCAAUCGAACCUGGAGAUAGCUGGUUCUCUCCGAAAUAGCUUUAGGGCUAGCCUCAAGGUAAGAGUCUCGGAGGUAGAGCACUGAUUGGACUAGGGGCCCCUACCGGGUUACCGAAUUCAGUCAAACUCCGAAUGCCGAUGACUUAUCCUUGGGAGUCAGACUGCGAGUGAUAAGAUCCGUAGUCGAAAGGGAAACAGCCCAGACCGCCAGCUAAGGUCCCAAAGUAUACGUUAAGUGGAAAAGGAUGUGGAGUUGCUUAGACAACCAGGAUGUUGGCUUAGAAGCAGCCACCAUUUAAAGAGUGCGUAAUAGCUCACUGGUCGAGUGACUCUGCGCCGAAAAUGUACCGGGGCUAAACGUAUCACCGAAGCUGCGGACUGUUCUUCGAACAGUGGUAGGAGAGCGUGCUAAGGGCUGUGAAGCAAGACCGGAAGGACUUGUGGAGCGCUUAGAAGUGAGAAUGCCGGUAUGAGUAGCGAAAGAGGGGUGAGAAUCCCCUCCACCGAAUGCCUAAGGUUUCCUGAGGAAGGCUCGUCCGCUCAGGGUUAGUCGGGACCUAAGCCGAGGCCGAAAGGCGUAGGCGAUGGAUAACAGGUUGAUAUUCCUGUACCACCUCCUCACCAUUUGAGCAAUGGGGGGACGCAGGAGGAUAGGGUAAGCGCGGUAUUGGAUAUCCGCGUCCAAGCAGUUAGGCUGGGAAAUAGGCAAAUCCGUUUCCCGUGAAGGCUGAGCUGUGAUGGCGAGCGAAUUAUAGUAGCGAAGUUCCUGAUUCCACACUGCCAAGAAAAGCCUCUAGCGAGG